rnacentral:rRNA from 1 species
GACGAACGCUGGCGGCGUGCUUAACACAUGCAAGUCGAACGGGAAGUGCCCAGCUUGCUGGGUGACUCGAGUGGCGAACGGGUGAGUAACACGUGGGUGAUCUGCCCUGCACUUUGGGAUAAGCCUGGGAAACUGGGUCUAAUACCGAAUACACCCUGCUGGUCGCAUGGCCUGGUGGGGGAAAGCUUUUGCGGUGUGGGAUGGGCCCGCGGCCUAUCAGCUUGUUGGUGGGGUGAUGGCCUACCAAGGCGACGACGGGUAGCCGGCCUGAGAGGGUGUCCGGCCACACUGGGACUGAGAUACGGCCCAGACUCCUACGGGAGGCAGCAGUGGGGAAUAUUGCACAAUGGGCGCAAGCCUGAUGCAGCGACGCCGCGUGGGGGAUGACGGCCUUCGGGUUGUAAACCUCUUUCAAUAGGGACGAAGCGUAAGUGACGGUACCUAUAGAAGAAGCACCGGCCAACUACGUGCCAGCCGCCGCGGUAACAC